rnacentral:sRNA from 1 species
CUAAAAAAUCAAACAAAAAGGAACAGAGGGAGUAUACAUUAAUAAU